UCGAGAAUUUUUCACAAUGGGGGAAACCCUGAUGGAGCGACGCCGCGUGGAGGAUGAAGGUUUUCGGAUUGUAAACUCCUGUCAUUAGAGAACAAUGCGCUAGUAGUAACUGCACUAGCGUUGAUAGUAUCUGAAGAGGAAGAGACGGCUAACUCUGUGCCAGCAGCCGCGGUAAUACAGAGGUCUCAAGCGUUGUUCGGAUUCAUUGGGCGUAAAGGGUGCGUAGGUGGCGAUGCAAGUCGGAUGUGAAAUCUCCAGGCUCAACCUGGAAACUGCAUUCGAUACUGCGUUGCUUGAGGAUUGUAGAGGGCAUUGGAAUUCACGGUGUAGCAGUGAAAUGCGUAGAUAUCGUGAGGAAGACCAGUGGCGAAGGCGAAUGCCUGGGCAAUUCCUGACACU
rnacentral:rRNA from 1 species